rnacentral:misc_RNA from 1 species
AACGCACCUUGCGCUCUCUGGUAUUCCGGAGAGCAUGCCUGUUUGAGUGUCAUGAACUCUUCAACCCACCGGUUCCUUGCUGAACCGAGAUGGUGUUUGGAUUUUGAGCUUUGCUAUUUAUUUAGCUAGCUCGUAAUAUAUUAGCAUCUUUCAAUUUCAUAAUCGGAUUGACUCAGCGUAAUAGACUAUUCGCUGAGGACACUUUUACUAGUGGCCGGUAAUGAAGAUAGAGAAGCUUCUAACUCUUCUAGUCAACUUUAGAUUAGACCUCAAAUCAGGCAGGAUUACCCGCUGAACUUAA